rnacentral:rRNA from 1 species
GCUUACAGCUGUACCCACCUGAGAAAACCCGAUCUCGUCUGAUCUCAGAAACUAAGCAAGUUCGGCCUGGUUAGUACCUGGAUGGGAGAAUGCAUGUUUUUAGCA